UACGAAGGGGGCUAGCGUUGCUCGGAAUCACUGGGCGUAAAGCGCACGUAGGCGGAUUGUUAAGUCAGGGGUGAAAUCCUGGAGCUCAACUCCAGAACUGCCUUUGAUACUGGCGAUCUUGAGUCCGGGAGAGGUGAGUGGAACUGCGAGUGUAGAGGUGAAAUUCGUAGAUAUUCGCAAGAACACCAGUGGCGAAGGCGGCUCACUGGCCCGGUACUGACGCUGAGGAGCGAAAGCGUGGGGGGCGAACAGG
rnacentral:rRNA from 1 species